rnacentral:rRNA from 1 species
UACACUCCUACGGGAGGCAGCAGUGGGGAAUUUUGGACAAUGGGCGAAAGCCUGAUCCAGCCAUGCCGCGUGCAGGAUGAAGGCCUUCGGGUUGUAAACUGCUUUUGUACGGAACGAAACGGCCUUUUCUAAUAAAGAGGGCUAAUGACGGUACCGUAAGAAUAAGCACCGGCUAACUACGUGCCAGCAGCCGCGGUAAUACGUAGGGUGCAAGCGUUAAUCGGAAUUACUGGGCGUAAAGCGUGCGCAGGCGGUUAUGUAAGACAGUUGUGAAAUCCCCGGGCUCAACCUGGGAACUGCAUCUGUGACUGCAUAGCUAGAGUACGGUAGAGGGGGAUGGAAUUCCGCGUGUAGCAGUGAAAUGCGUAGAUAUGCGGAGGAACACCGAUGGCGAAGGCAAUCCCCUGGACCUGUACUGACGCUCAUGCACGAAAGCGUGGGGAGCAAACAGGAUUAGAUACCCUAGUAGUCCCAUG